AUUGUGUUUUGUUACUUGUUUUAUCGCUUCCCCCUCCAGUGUGGCGGUGUCUCCAAUCUCCAUCAACCAUAAUCAUCGAUUGGUCAGUUCAAGCAGGUCGAAAGAGUUCCUUUAAGAGGCUUUUAUCUCGCUGUAACUGUAUGUACCACCUCGAUCGCACAGACGAUCGCUGAUCGUCAAACGAUCGAUCGACCGCGUAAUUCAAUUAUUCACCCAUAUUCGGUAAACUAAUGACCCGCCAUCGACGCCAAUUUCGACGGAUUUGGCUGCUACAGCAAAGUGUCAGCAGGUAGUAGAGGGUGUUGGUGGUGGUGGUGCUGGUGCUGCUGCUGCUGUAACGAGGCGGCGAGUGACUGACGACGUUAGCUGCGCGCUCAAACCACUCACGGGAGUGAUCAUGGGUGAAGUGAUCAAAUCUUGCUGCUACUGUUGUUGCACCUGCUAUCAGUCUGGCGUUUGCUGUGCUGGCCUGUGCUGCAUCGUACUACCGAUAGUCGGCCUACUUUCGAUACUGGCCGGCAUUGUCGUCGCCAUACUGCUCGCCUUCUCGAUGAUCCAUCACGAUUCAAGCGAAUACACAAUCAACCGGCUGGUGACAGUGCUCAGUAAUCUGACAUAUGCUCAGUCGACGAAUGGAACCGCGGCUGCCGGUGUCCACGAUGAUUAGUCACUCCACGCUCGUUGUUACGUUAUCUUAAGUUGUUUAUGAUGUUAUUUAUUUUAUUAGGUGUACUUUUGUAGACUUAAAAUAUAACUUUGUAAAUUCAACCCCAUGAUGACUUCA